UCAACAAACUCUGAGUAUGUAUGUUAACUCUGAGUUGACAAACCCUGAGAUGAAAAACUCUGAGUUUCCUGUUUCAACACAGCUGAUUCGCAUUAGUUUUGUCGACUCUGAGUAUGUUAACUCUGACUAUGCUGACGCACCGCGACUAUAAAAAAGCCCUCAUCAAUGGAGCCCUGAUUCACUGAUUCACCAUGGAUACCGGAGGAGAAAGAAAGCGGAGAAUGUAUUUUACACCUGUGGAACUGGAAAUCUUGAUGGAGGCGUACGGUGAAUAUGAGCAUGUAUUCCGAAAAAAAAGUAACACGACAGCAGCGGCUACAGAAAGACAAAACGCGUGGGAACAAAUCACUGCUCGGGUCAAUGCGUGCAACCCAGGGGGUGAAAAAAGGACUUGGAGGCAGUUGAAAAUGAAAUAUAAAAAUAUAAUUCAGUCAGCCAAUAGAAAGAGGGCAGAGGCCCGUAAAACGGGUGGAGGACCUGCACCACCACCUCUA